AUUGAACGCUGGCGGCAUGCUUUACACAUGCAAGUCGAACGGCAGCGCGGGCUUCGGCCUGGCGGCGAGUGGCGAACGGGCGAGUAAUACAUCGGAACGUGCCCAGUAGUGGGGGAUAGCUCGGCGAAAGCCGGAUUAAUACCGCAUACGACCUGAGGGUGAAAGCGGGGGAUCUUCGGACCUCGCGCUAUUGGAGCGGCCGAUGGCAGAUUAGCUAGUUGGUGGGGUAAAGGCCUACCAAGGCGACGAUCUGUAGCUGGUCUGAGAGGACGACCAGCCACACUGGGACUGAGACACGGCCCAGACUCCUACGGGAGGCAGCAGUGGGGAAUUUUGGACAGUGGGCGAAAGCCUGAUCCAGCAAUGCCGCGUGUGUGAUGAAGGCCUUCGGGUUGUAAAGCACUUUUGGCGGGAACGAAAAGGACUGUGCCAAUACCACGGUUCGAUGACGGUACCCGCAGAAUAAGCACCGGCUAACUACGUG
rnacentral:rRNA from 1 species